rnacentral:lncRNA from 1 species
GGGUGAUUGAACCAAGCCUUCACCGCACCGAGUUUGCCCUACUGCAGUCACCCACACCGCGGCUCGCUUACGGUUGGAGAAAUCAAGGCCCUACCGGGGCCACCUCUCUGUUGUGGGCGUGGACGAGGCUGGGGUGAGCCUGCCGGAGCUGCAGUUGCCAGCGACAUGUUCAAGGUAAUUCAGAAGGGUCCGUGGGGCCAGCCAGCCGGAGCUUGUUCACCUUCAGAGUCUGUGCAGCACCGAAAAAGGACUCACCUCCCAAAACUUCCGUGAAGGUUGACGAGCUUUCGCGAGGGCAAAUCGCAGUGUGUGGAGGAGUCAAGGAACCAGCUUGAAGAAAGCUUCUCACAGCUCCGACACUUAUUGCGAGCCAUACACAAGCUGGUGUCAGGACACGUACUCCCAAAGUAAGCCCAAGAUGCAAAGUUUGGUUCAGUGGGGGUUAGACAGCUAUGACUAUCUCCAAAAUGCACCUCCUGGAUUUUUUCCGAGACUUGGUGUUAUUGGUUUUGCUGGCCUUAUUGGACUCCUUUUGACUAGAGGUUCAAAAAUGAAGAAGCUAGUGUAUCUGCCUGGUUUCAUGAGAUUAGCUGCCUCCCUGUAUUAUCCACAACAAACCAUCGUGUUUGCCCAGGUCAGUGGGGAGAGAUUAUAUGACUGGAGUUUAAGAUUUGUGGAAGGAGAACUUUCAAAAGCCAGGAAAUGUGAAGAAUUCACCUGGAACUAAGUAGAAAACUCCAUGAUCUGCCCAUCUUAACUUAUUUAAGUUACCUAUAUUAAGUUACCUACAACUUAAUCAGUUAUAGGUACACAUUGGAAACUCCACAGAGUAAAUCAGUAUUUCUACAGAAAAAUGUCAGAGAAGUCAGUAUUGAAUGUAUUAAAUUGGCUUUCUUCUUCAGGAAAUACUAGAUCAGACCUCUGUUAUCUUGGGUGGUACCAUCCUACACGCAAACUAAUCUGAAAUCCUUUCACCUAGGGAUAAUGUACAAACCUUAGAACUCCUCGUUUUCAUGUUGCUAUUUAUUUACAUAAUUAAAACCCAAAUUAA